UACAGAGGGGGCAAGCGUUGUUCGGAAUUACUGAGCGUAAAGGGCGCGUAGGCGGCCUUCUAAGUCAGACGUGAAAUCCCCGGGCUCAACCCGGGAACUGCGUCUGAUACUGGAGGGCUUGAAUCCGGGAGAGGGAUGUGGAAUUCCAGGUGUAGCGGUGAAAUGCGUAGAUAUCUGGAGGAACACCGGUGGCGAAGGCGGCAUCCUGGACCGGUAUCGACGCUGAGGCGCGAAAGCCAGGGGAGCAAACGGG
rnacentral:rRNA from 1 species